CAGAACACCAACUUACAGAAAUGUUUAGAAUAGUUUUGAUAACAAUGUUUGCCGCCAUUUUGGGGUAUAUGAGCCUGGCUUCUCCUCUGGAUGACGAAUAUGGAUACUGGGACUACAACUACACUGACCAUGAAUAUCGCAAAACACUGUUACUUGACCAAUAUUUUCAAUAAUUGCCUGCAAUAACAUGUUAUUUAACAUACAGCAAUAAAUAAGCCUAAUAAACUGUG